rnacentral:lncRNA from 1 species
AAAGGCAAAAUUUCAGAGUUGUUGUCAAGUGACUCAAUUGAUUCAGAUACCAGACUGGCUCUUGUCAAUGCCUUAUAUUUCAAAAGAAAAUGGAAUCAACACUUUGAUAAUACCUUUGCCAUUAACAAGCCCUUUAAAGUGAACAGGUACAGAUGAUGUAUCUGGCAAACAUAUUUAAACUCACAUAUGUGAAGAAAAUCCAGGCAAAAUUGCUUGGUGAUGCCCUAUGAGGGCAUGGAGCUGAACUCUACGGUCCUGCUUCCAAAUGAUGGUGUGGACCUCAGUAAG